AAUUUUCCUAUUUUUGUAAGAAAAAGAGCCUGUAAUUAUACCUACAAAGUGAUGUGAAAGUAGUUACUGAGGAUACGUGAGGUUUGCAAACCAGUCUCCCUGGAUAUUCAAAGGAGUUGACGGACAAUUUGAUUGAAGACUUUAGCUCCAUGAAACUAGCUGAUUUUAGCGUAACAAAUAAGGUUUUUACUGCGUUGCAACUGGCUCCAGACUGGAAUUUAUAACCAAGACUAAAUAUUCAAGUGCCUAUCUGAAGUACUUAACAACAAGUUGUAUUAAGAUCUUAUGAAGUUAAUACCUACAUAAGAAACUAAAUUGGCAUAUCAUUCUGCUACUGACUAUUGGAACACCCAGGCUUGCUGCUCCAUUUUACUCGAGAGCUAGGCUGGCUGAGCUGAAAUUAAGGGGAUAUGUACAAAGGUUCCACUCAAGAGAGCCACAUACAGGAGCUUCACCACCUCUCAGAAUAGAAUAGAAAAUCUACUAAAUAAAGUUGUAUCAAUACCUUGAUAGUACAGUCAGCAAUAGAUAUUUAUGCCACCCCAGUAACAAAAAUUUGAUCCUCAUGGGUGGAAUAAUAAUAUUUUAUCUAUACU